UACGUAGGGGGCAAGCGUUGUCCGGAUUUAUUGGGCGUAAAGCGCUCGCAGGCGGCCCGAUGCGUCGUGCGUGAAACACCCCGGCUCAACUGGGGAGGGUCGUGUGAUACGGUCGGGCUCGAGGCCAGUAGGGGGAUGCGGAAUUCCGGGUGUAGUGGUGGAAUGCGUAGAGAUCCGGAGGAACACCAGCGGCGAAGGCGGCAUCCUGGACUGGUACUGACGCUCAAGAGCGAAAGCGUGGGGAGCGAGCCGG
rnacentral:rRNA from 1 species